rnacentral:lncRNA from 1 species
AACUUGACCCAAGACCAUCUCUUGUCAUAAAACAGCAAUCCUCCAACGCUAGACGUGGUCCUCCUACUGUUCACUGAGCAGUCAGAGCGCUGAAGAGCCGCAGGGACAUUUGAAUGGGGCUGCUGUUAUUCCUGAUGGGGGCGGCAUGGCUGGGCCACAGCGCAGACAGAACCACAUCACCGAGGCAAAGAGAACCGUAAGGGGAUUGACACUUCAUCACCUGACUCUCAACUCAUGGCCCAGCCUUUCCUCCAUGAAGUAAGAGUAAAGCAUUUUCAAAUGCAAGCUGUUCUCCAGAGGAGACUUGCCGUAUGUUCAAGUCCCGACACGGACCAGGACCCGCGUGCCAUCAGGAGCCUCAGUCCCUCCUCUGCAAGUGGAGACAGUGUCAGGUGCCCGCGAAGGUGUUGUGAGGACUGCCUACGUCACUCAGGGACCCUGACGCGCAGACCUGCCGGGGGGGCUCCUCUCAUCACUCUUACCCACCUUGCACGCUGUAAUAACGGGGGCACUUCCUCGCGGCCAGCUGUGAGCCAUGAAGGGGCGACUUCUCUGCUGUCAGGAGAGAGGGAUCCCAUGGCCGUCCUGUGCUGGGAUCCAGGGGAGGGACAGUCUUGCUGCCACUUUCUGCAGCCUGCUGUGUGCUAAACCACGUGCCCUCAAAAUUUACCUGCGAGAGCACUAAGCUCCAUCCUUCCAAUGCACCUGAAGAUAAGGUCCUUCAAGAAGGCCUUCAGUGCCAGAGAGGUCUUCAGAAUGGACCAUAUUCCAGGAGGGCCGGUGUCCUGACAGGACUUGUUGACUAGGACACAGACAUGCAUGGAGGGAUGGCCGCACGAGAACAGGGGAGGUGCUGGCUCGACCCUGCAGAGAGGCCUCCGGGGAAACCCGCCUGCCCACUCCCGGAUCUCGGCCACCCCAGAUCUCAGACAUCCCGCCGCCGUGUCUCUGUUGUUCAAGCCCUUCAAAUGUGCCAAAGGCCCC